rnacentral:rRNA from 1 species
GAUGAACGCUAGCGGCAGGCUUAAUACAUGCAAGUCAAGGGGUAGCAAUACAACCGGCGCACGGGUGAGUAACGCGUACACAACAUACCAUAUACUGGAGUAUAGCUUUGGGAAACUGAAGGUAAUCCUCCAUAACAUUGCGAGAGGGCAUCUGAUUGCAAUUAAAGUUCCGACGGUAUAUGAUUGGUGUGCGUUUGAUUAGCUAGUUGGUAGGGUAACGGCCUACCAAGGCGACGAUCAAUAGCUGGCGUGAGAGCGCGACCAGCCACACUGGAACUGAGACACGGUCCAGACUCCUACGGGAGGCAGCAGUAGGGAAUAUUGGACAAUGGGCGAAAGCCUGAUCCAGCCAUGCCGCGUGAUAGAUGAAGGCCCUCUGGGUUGUAAAUAUCUUUUAUCUGGGAAGAAACUCCUCUAUUCUUAGAGGCCUGACGGUACCAGAGGAAUAAGCACCGGCUAACUCCGUGCCAGCAGCCGCGG